rnacentral:misc_RNA from 1 species
GAAAUGCGAUAAGUAAUGUGAAUUGCAGAAUUCAGUGAAUCAUCGAAUCUUUGAACGCACAUUGCGCCCGCCAGCACUCUGGCGGGCAUGCCUGUUCGAGCGUCAUUUCAACCCUCAGAACCCCUUGCGGGAUCUGGCGUUGGGGAUUGGCAUCCAGCCAGCCCCGAAAUCUAGUGGCGGUCCCUCCGCGACCUCCCCUGUGCAGUAGCGAUACCUCGCAGCGGGACAGCGGUCUGACCACGCCGUAAAACCCCCAACUUCUCAAGGUCGACCUCGAAUCAGGUAGGAAUACCCGCUGAACUUAAGC